rnacentral:rRNA from 1 species
AUUGAACGCUGGCGGCAUGCCUUACACAUGCAAGUCGAACGGUAACAGGUCUUCGGAUGCUGACGAGUGGCGAACGGGUGAGUAAUACAUCGGAACGUGCCCGAUCGUGGGGGAUAACGGAGCGAAAGCUUUGCUAAUACCGCAUACGAUCUACGGAUGAAAGCAGGGGACCGCAAGGCCUUGCGCGGACGGAGCGGCCGAUGGCAGAUUAGGUAGUUGGUGGGAUAAAAGCUUACCAAGCCGACGAUCUGUAGCUGGUCUGAGAGGACGACCAGCCACACUGGGACUGAGACACGGCCCAGACUCCUACGGGAGGCAGCAGUGGGGAAUUUUGGACAAUGGGCGAAAGCCUGAUCCAGCCAUGCCGCGUGCAGGAUGAAGGCCUUCGGGUUGUAAACUGCUUUUGUACGGAACGAAAAGCCUCUCUAAUAAAGAGAGGUCAUGACGGUACCGUAAGAAUAAGCACCGGCUAACUACGUGCCAGCCGCCGCCGUAACAC